UGGCAUCCCCAAAUUCCUGUGAGUCCUUAUGUGCUCCAAACUUCUGGCCAGUUAACAGAUCUGCUCAUGUCUCUCUUAGAUGCACUGUUGUCUUGGAUCCUACCCUGCUAGCGUUACUUCAAAGAGGUGGACUAUCCUUACUUGUGUCAGCAUGCUCAACAUCAAGAAAAGAGUCAUUUAUGGAAAGAGGUUCAGUUUCAGUGUCUGCCUGGGAUAUACAAGGCAUUUCAGAGAAGACUGCCCUGGUGAAGAUGAGCUGACAGCUGAGAGGUGGUUUUGAUAUGCAGGUAGUUGAGAAAUGAAAGACAUUGAUCUGCACUUUAAGGAACAUUACGUGCACUGAUUUACAGAGCAAAGAAGUUGAUCUUUAGGUCUGGCUGGUUUAUUACAGUACAAAAAUUUGAAACAGUGGCAAGGCACACAGUGACAAGGGGCUUAUCUAAUUUCUAAAUUCAAGUUUAAUUUAAACAGCAGAAAGCUUAAAUUAUGAUAAUGUAUUAUUCAGAUCACAUGAACAAUGGGGGAAAUAGCUCAUUAUCUCAAAUACUGGUAUGUUAAAUAUCACUAAUAGGUAAAGCUGUGUCUCUUGGCACUGUGCUAAGAAAAUAUAUUUCUGAUUUACUUAUUGAUAUGUUAAUUCUUCCACAAAACUUUAAAAAAUAAAGUACUCUGAGUCCUUGAGAAAGUUCAGUGAUGGAAAUGUUAUUCUUCAAAAAUCAUGGCUAUUGAUAUGCCUGAUAGUUCAAAGAUAAAAUUCAUGUGAAGCCCUUUCUUAAGUGAGAGCCAACAAUAUAAAUAUUAAUGCUAUCAAUAAAUGAACCUAGAAAUUCAGUAUUACAAAUUCUUAGGAUAGUUUCAGCUGAUGUUCAGAUGAACUCAUAAAAUGCUUUGCUGCCUCAAGGCAAGUUUGCAGUGUGUAGUCUGUGCCUCUUUUCCCACAGACAGUCUCUGUGAGAAGCAUCUCAGUAUACCCACAUUCAUAUCAGGCGCCAGAAACAAAGCACUGCCCCAGAUGAGCAGAAACUUUCUAGAAGAAAUCGGACUGCCAGUAUUCAGAGAAAUGUGUUAAACAACUUUCUGAUAAAGCCUUUCACUAGAAUUAUUUUUAUUUUAGUCAUAAAACACCUUAAUCAUUCUCUUCUACCUUCUGCCUGAACAAAACAGAUAAGCUUUUUGUCUUACAGCACUCAGAUACCAAGACAUUAAGCAGCUCGUGGAAAAGACACAUAAUGUGUCAAGGCAUUGUAGGAUUCUGUUCAGCUGUAAAAUUAAAACUAGGAGAUAAAGUAAAAUACUUGAUAUGAUAGAGUACAGAUGCUCACAGUGGGCUUUGCUAAGCAUGUGUUCAUGUGUGUUCACAAGCAAUAUAUCAUAUUGCCCAUGCAGAAAAAGACAGAUUUAAUCUUGUUCAGGAAUAAUAGCAAAAUUCAAAAGAAAUGAGGCAAAAUUCAUUUUCUCUUUUCCACUGGAUCAUUAUGUCACAUUUUUGAGAAACAAUAUUCAUUCUCAGAUUCCAAUAAAAUAUCUGACCCCUGUGCUGAUUUCUUCCAUGUGCAGAAGUUAACUUGUACAUCUUAUUCCUCCUUCUUCCCUCCAAAAAAGACAAGGAAAUAAAAAAUCCAAGUCUCUCAGAAUGGUAUCAUACACAGCAACUUCCUAGAAGUAAUGAUUCAGCCAGAAAAUUAAGUAUGGAUUCCAAAUUAUUUGGAUUUUUUUUCCUCCUUACAUGUUACUUUGAGCCUCCUGUGCAUUCUUUGUCUCAAUUCAACACUGUGCUUUCUUUCUUUUGCUUCUGAUGCACUCUUGCUUGUCCUUUUCUCUCAGUACUGCUUUUCUGGAAUAGUUUAAGACUCAUUAUGCUUGGAUCAAUAAUAUGGCAUAUCUAGUCUUAGGAAAAGUUGUUGAGCAUGAAACUUAAGGGAAUAGAAAUUACCUCCCAGUUCAUGACACAUUCAAUUAAAAAGACUUGAUAGUGGAAGAAAACAUAAUUUUUGUACUCUAUCCUGACACAAAAUUUCACCAAAUAUGAACAUACUAGAGGUCUUUAAAACUUCAUGGACACAUCUGUAUCAGCUGUAAUUGUCUCAGAAUAUAAAGCUAGAUGUAUCAUUUUUGUUCACAAAAGGUUGUCUGUCAAUCUCAGUUAAAUAUACAAAAGUAGGUCUUUUCAGUGAGGAACUAUUUUUAAUAACUUCAUUUUCUGGUUUAAUUGCACUUCUGACUUGCUAAAAUAGCUACUGCAAGUGUCUGAGUAAAGAAAUGAACCUAAUUCAUUCUGGAUUUUGACCUACAUCCAUACACUACUGAUGAAAAUAAGCCUAAAUUACAAGGGUCAUAAGUAGCUCAUACCAUAGAAUAUUAGCUGGGGGUUUUUUGAUGGAUGGGGUUCGUUUGGGUUUUUUUUUUUUUUUUUUUUUUUGUUUUUUUUUGAUAAUUCAGAGUAUCUCUUUAACACUGGCAGUGAAGUAGAUUGCAGUUACGACUGUUACCUAGAGAAAUGUGGAUGUCUGCCUUCACGUUCUAACACAGAGCCUGCUGCGUUCAGUGUGACCUCCUCCUCAACUGCCAGCCUAGACACAUCACCUGAACAUAAAUGAUUAACGCUAGAAAUGAAGACUUUCAUGUUUGAUUACCUGUCACAAUUUACUGGUAAUUCUUUCUCUACCCUCUGGGUCUGAUUCAUCUUUCAGUUAUACUCAUGUAAAUACAGAGAAGCUUCACCAAGUUAAAGGAGUAAAAAUCAAUGAAAAAUUGUGGUGGCAAUAAAAUUAAGGCCCCUUGCUUUAAAUCUGGAGAUCUCUGAAGGCAACAAUGAAGGGUAAGAUUUCUUUAUACUUCACUUACAUUAGACCCAUUUAAUUGAUAUCAUAAAAAUGGGUGUCAAAACCUGCCAAAGUAUAUCAAUACUUUAUAUAUGAAAUUCUUAUUUUUAAGUGCCGAUAAAUCCUGAUAUACUUAAAAGUCCUUUAACAUUCUUCAUAAAGCAUAUAUCAUCAAUGACUUCUAUAAAAAGCUACUAAAUGUAGCAAUAGUGCAAUCUAAAGAACCACAUCAGCCAUUUUAAGAUCUGAGUUUUUUAUAUUCAGGUUCUCAUCAUAUGAAGACAUACUAGUCUCAGAAUAAACUCAAUUUGUGUCAUUUAGUACAGUCAUGCUAUCAUCAAACUUUUACAUAAAUGCAUAUCAUGGAACACUGGCAAUUUCAACCCAUGAUAGCUAGAUAACAGUCCCACAAGAUACCAAAUAUGCAAGUGUCUUUAAGGAUUUAGCUCAAUUACUAUUGAAGCAAGGAGAGUUAAGCAGUUGAAAGAGGACUUUUUUGUUUUGGCAGGGCUAAGCAUUUUACUGUUGUAAGGAUGCAAAGAACAACCUGACUGGAAUAGUUCCUUGGACAAUGUAAAUCAAAGGAUCUCCACUGACUUCAAAAGAAUGUGUGGAUUUACAUUACUUGGAGACUUGUCUAUUUGUUCAUGCUUUUAGAUUAAAUGUCAUUACUAUUAUUAGGAAAAGGUCAAACCAAGUGUCUAUGUUAUAAGACAAAAAUCUAAACAACCAUGCAAGACUAAAACACGUGUUAAUGAAAAGUGUCCUCUUUACCACUCACAGUUUACCUUUCAGAACUAGGCACCUUUGUCUUAACAAAUCUUCUGAAUUCUUUUUCAGAGAAUGAAACAAAAAUUUCUUUCUAUUUGAAGAAAUUUGCUUAUUAUUCUGGUUGUGAUUUUAAUGUAGAUGCUUUGCUUCUGCUUCCAUGUCAAGGGAAUGGAAGUGUGGAAUCUUUUGGGGUGUGGAACCUUUUUGAGCUCUUAUGAUUAAUUUGUAUAAACAGAGCAGCAUUAAAAAGUACUUAUAUAACAAGUAUAAAAAAAAUAAAAAUUAAAUUAGA